rnacentral:rRNA from 1 species
GAUCCUGGCUCAGGACGAACGCUGGCGGCGUGCCUAAUACAUGCAAGUAGAACGCUGAAGAGAGGAGCUUGCUCUUCUUGGAUGAGUUUGCGAACGGGUGAGUAACGCGUAGGUAACCUGCCUGGUAGCGGGGGAUAACUAUUGGAAACGAUAGCUAAUACCGCAUAAAAUGGAUUAUCGCAUGAUAAUCGAUUGAAAGGUGCAAAUGCAUCACUACCAGAUGG